rnacentral:tRNA from 1 species
GCCUCGAUAGCUCAGUCUGGUAGAGCGGCGGUCUUGUAAACCGCAGGUCGUGGGUUCGACUCCCACUCGGGGCU